GAUGAACGCUGGCGGCGUGCCUAAUACAUGCAAGUCGAGCGAACGGACGAGAAGCUUGCUUUUCUGAUGUUAGCGGCGGACGGGUGAGUAACACGUGGAUAACCUACCUAUAAGACUGGGAUAACUUCGGGAAACAGGAGCUAAUACCGGAUAAUAUUUUGAACCGCAUGGUUCAAAAGUGAAAGACGGUCUUGCUGUCACUUAUAGAUGGAUCCGCGCUGCAUUAGCUAGUUGGUAAGGUAACGGCUUACCAAGGCAACGAUGCAUAGCCGACCUGAGAGGGUGAUCGGCCACACUGGAACUGAGACACGGUCCAGACUCCUACGGGAGGCAGCAGUAGGGAAUCUUCCGCAAUGGGCGAAAGCCUGACGGAGCAACGCAGCGUGAGUGAUGAAGGUCUUCGGAUCGUAAAACUCUGUUAUUAGGGAAGAACAUAUGUGUAAGUAACUGUGCACAUCUUGACGGUACCUAAUCAGAAAGCCACGGCUAACUACGU
rnacentral:rRNA from 1 species